rnacentral:rRNA from 1 species
UGGGGAAUAUUGCACAAUGGGGGAAACCCUGAUGCAGCGACGCCGCGUGAACGAAGAAGGUAUUCGUAUCGUAAAGUUCUGUCCUAUGGGAAGAUAAUGACAGUACCAUAGAAGAAAGCUCCGGCUAAAUACGUGCCAGCAGCCGCGGUAAUACGUAUGGAGCGAGCGUUGUCCGGAAUUAUUGGGCGUAAAGGGUACGCAGGCGGUUUAAUAAGUCGAAUGUUAAAGAUCGGGGCUCAACCCCGUAAAGCAUUGGAAACUGAUAAACUUGAGUAGUGGAGAGGAAAGUGGAAUUGCUAGUGUAGUGGUGAAAUACGUAGAUAUUAGGAGGAAUACCAGUAGCGAAGGCGACUUUCUGGACACAAACUGACGCUGAGGUACGAAAGCGUGGGGAGCAAACAGG